UUGGCGUUUGUCAAACCUGCGUGCCUCUCCGGGACCUGGGAUCCUCGGCGGCCGGUGGCUGGGAGCUGCUGCUGUCCGCCCCCGGGCCUGCUGGUUCUCGUCUAACGCUACUACCCUGGGCAGCCUCCAUCAACAGCCUUAGCCUUUAACCUCUUAACAUCUGCCUGUCAGUUCCUUGUAAUUUUCCAAGGAGUCCCUUGGUUUUGUAGAAAGGGAUCUGGUUUGGGAGGCAAGGAAGCAACUUUUUCUUUUUCCUCCCAGAAGAAUUGGACAGGGGUGUUUUGGGUUUUUUUUUGUCCAGUGGCACACAGGAAUCGGAUUUUUCUUUUUCGUGGAUCGAGGACCCAGGGAGGGGUACUGGUUUGACAAGGCACUUUCUGAAAGUUUCCUCCCUGGUCCUACAACUGCCUUGGGAGGUAGAUGCCGUUGAAGAAGCAAGUACAGGAGGCGUAAAUGGCUUUCUGGAGGUGGUAGAUGGCAAAGGUAAAAGCUGAACCGGUUGGAGACCGCAUUCUCCACCAGUGGGGAGCACUGCCUCUGUACACGUGGCUAUGGACAGAUUAUGUCGGACUGAAUUUCCAGGGAAGAAUCUGAAGUGCACAAUGCCUUCAGCAUUGGGUUGUCGCCACACUCUGAGCCGAGUGUGGCUCUUGGGUGCCUCUUCCCUCCUGAUAUGCAGCCAGGCCUCGGGUGCUUUUGGAGCCUGCCAGUGGAUAUCGGAUAAUAGAUGGUUGAUUCCUGCCUGCCAGACUCUUUCAUUCCCAGAGACCCACGCAGAGCAUCUCGGUGCUUUUUGGCACCAUACCUCCUGCCAGCUAAGCGACCCAAAGCUGGAACUUCCUUCUUUUCUACAACCGAGUCAUGCGGUGAAGAUAUACACAUUUUCCACAUUUGUUCUGCUGUUGGAUGUGUCGGACACACGUGCUGGUGCUGAGCUGGAGAAAAGUGCAUCAUGUUUCCAAAAGGCACGGGAUGCGCUCUGCUCCUUAAGCCGUCGGCGAGCAGGCGCUAAAAAUGGAAUGGUUCUAUUAAGCAAAUAAGUUAGACCUAAUUAUAGUGAUUCUUGGAA